GACGAACGCUGGCGGCGUGCUUAACACAUGCAAGUCGAACGGAAAGGCCCUGCUUUUGUGGGGUGCUCGAGUGGCGAACGGGUGAGUAACACGUGAGUAACCUGCCCUUGACUUUGGGAUAACUUCAGGAAACUGGGGCUAAUACCGGAUAGGAGCUCCUGCUGCAUGGUGGGGGUUGGAAAGUUUCGGCGGUUGGGGAUGGACUCGCGGCUUAUCAGCUUGUUGGUGGGGUAGUGGCUUACCAAGGCUUUGACGGGUAGCCGGCCUGAGAGGGUGACCGGCCACAUUGGGACUGGGAUACGGCCCAGACCCCUCCGGGGGGAAGGAGGGGGGAAUAUGGCACAAGGGGCGGAAGCCUGAGGCAGCAACGCCUGGUGCGGGAUGACGGCUUUCGGGUUUUAAACCGCUUUCGCCUGUGACGAAGCGGGGGUGACGGUAAUGGGUAAAGAAGCACCGGCUAACUACGU
rnacentral:rRNA from 1 species